rnacentral:rRNA from 1 species
AGUCGAACGGUGAAGCCCAGCUUGCUGGGUGGAUCAGUGGCGAACGGGUGAGUAACACGUGAGCAACCUGCCCCUGACUCUGGGAUAAGCGCUGGAAACGGCGUCUAAUACUGGAUAUGUGACGUGACCGCAUGGUCUGCGUCUGGAAAGAUUUUUCGGUUGGGGAUGGGCUCGCGGCCUAUCAGCUUGUUGGUGAGGUAAUGGCUCACCAAGGCGUCGACGGGUAGCCGGCCUGAGAGGGUGACCGGCCACACUGGGACUGAGACACGGCCCAGACUCCUACGGGAGGCAGCAGUGGGGAAUAUUGCACAAUGGGCGCAAGCCUGAUGCAGCAACGCCGCGUGAGGGAUGACGGCCUUCGGGUUGUAAACCUCUUUUAGCAGGGAAGAAGCGAAAGUGACGGUACCUGCAGAAAAAGCGCCGGCUAACUACGUGCCAGCAGCCGCGGUAAUACGUAGGGCGCAAGCGUUAUCCGGAAUUAUUGGGCGUAAAGAGCUCGUAGGCGGUUUGUCGCGUCUGCUGUGAAAUCCGGAGGCUCAACCUCCGGCCUGCAGUGGGUACGGGCAGACUAGAGUGCGGUAGGGGAGAUUGGAAUUCCUGGUGUAGCGGUGGAAUGCGCAGAUAUCAGGAGGAACACCGAUGGCGAAGGCAGAUCUCUGGGCCGUAACUGACGCUGAGGAGCGAAAGGGUGGGGAGCAAACAGGCUUAGAUACCCUGGUAGUCCACCCCGUAAACGUUGGGAACUAGUUGUGGGGUCCAUUCCACGGAUUCCGUGACGCAGCUAACGCAUUAAGUUCCCCGCCUGGGGAGUACGGCCGCAAGGCUAAAACUCAAAGGAAUUGACGGGGACCCGCACAAGCGGCGGAGCAUGCGGAUUAAUUCGAUGCAACGCGAAGAACCUUACCAAGGCUUGACAUAUACGAGAACGGGCCAGAAAUGGUCAACUCUUUGGACACUCGUAAACAGGUGGUGCAUGUUGUCGUCAGCUCGUGUCGUGAG